rnacentral:rRNA from 1 species
GAUGAACGCUGGCGGCGUGCCUAAUACAUGCAAGUCGAGCGAACGGACGAGAAGCUUGCUUCUCUGAUGUUAGCGGCGGACGGGUGAGUAACACGUGGAUAACCUACCUAUAAGACUGGGAUAACUUCGGGAAACCGGAGCUAAUACCGGAUAAUAUUUUGAACCGCAUGGUUCAAAAGUGAAAGACGGUCUUGCUGUCACUUAUAGAUGGAUCCGCGCUGCAUUAGCUAGUUGGUAAGGUAACGGCUUACCAAGGCAACGAUGCAUAGCCGACCUGAGAGGGUGAUCGGCCACACUGGAACUGAGACACGGUCCAGACUCCUACGGGAGGCAGCAGUAGGGAAUCUUCCGCAAUGGGCGAAAGCCUGACGGAGCAACGCCGCGUGAGCGAUGAAGGUCUUCGGAUCGUAAAACUCUGUUAUUAGGGAAGAACAUAUGUGUAAGUAACUGUGCACAUCUUGACGGUACCUAAUCAGAAAGCCACGGCUAACUACGUGCCAGCAGCCGCGGUAAUACGUAGGUGGCAAGCGUUAUCCGGAAUUAUUGGGCGUAAAGCGCGCGUAGGCGGUUUUUUAAGUCUGAUGCGAAAGCCCACGGCUCAACCGUGGAGGGUCAUUGGAAACUGGAAAACUUGAGUGCAGAAGAGGAAAGUGGAAUUCCAUGUGUAGCGGUGAAAUGCGCAGAGAUAUGGAGGAACACCAGUGGCGAAGGCGACUUUCUGGUCUGUAACUGACGCUGAUGUGCGAAAGCGUGGGGAUCAAACAGGAUUAGAUACCCUGGUAGUCCACGCCGUAAACGAUGAGUGCUAAGUGUUAGGGGGUUUCCGCCCCUUAGUGCUGCAGCUAACGCAUUAAGCACUCCGCCUGGGGAGUACGACCGCAAGGUUGAAACUCAAAGGAAUUGACGGGGACCCGCACAAGCGGUGGAGCAUGUGGUUUAAUUCGAAGCAACGCGAAGAACCUUACCAAAUCUUGACAUCCUUUGACAACUCUAGAGAUAGAGCCUUCCCCUUCGGGGGACAAAGUGACAGGUGGUGCAUGGUUGUCGUCAGCUCGUGUCGUGAGAUGUUGGGUUAAGUCCCGCAACGAGCGCAACCCUUAAGCUUAGUUGCCAUCAUUAAGUUGGGCACUCUAAGUUGACUGCCGGUGACAAACCGGAGGAAGGUGGGGAUGACGUCAAAUCAUCAUGCCCCUUAUGAUUUGGGCUACACACGUGCUACAAUGGACAAUACAAAGGGCAGCGAAACCGCGAGGUCAAGCAAAUCCCAUAAAGUUGUUCUCAGUUCGGAUUGUAGUCUGCAACUCGACUACAUGAAGCUGGAAUCGCUAGUAAUCGUAGAUCAGCAUGCUACGGUGAAUACGUUCCCGGGUCU